rfam:Toxocara canis scaffold289, whole genome shotgun sequence.
GCGGCGGUAGCUUAGUGGUACAGCCUCCGCUUCGCAUGCGGGGAGACCCGGGUUCGAUUCCCGGCUGCUUCC